GUAGGUGGCAAGCGUUGUCCGGAAUUAUUGGGCGUAAAGCGCGCGCAGGCGGUUCUUUAAGUCUGAUGUGAAAGCCCACGGGCUCAACCGUGGAGGGUCAUUGGAAACUGGAGAACUUGAGUACAGAAGAGGAAAGCGGAAUUCCACGUGUAGCGGUGAAAUGCGUAGAGAUGUGGAGGAACACCAGUGGCGAAGGCGGCUUUCUGGUCUGUAACUGACGCUGAGGCGCGAAAGCGUGGGGAGCAAACAAGAUUAGAUACCCUGGUAGUCCACGCCGUAAACGAUGAGUGCUAAGUGUUAGGGGGUUUCCGCCCCUUAGUGCUGCAGCUAACGCAUUAAGCACUCCGCCUGGGGAGUACGGCCGCAAAGGCUG
rnacentral:rRNA from 1 species